CAGCAGCCGCGGUAAUACGUAGGUGGCAAGCGUUGUCCGGAAUUAUUGGGCGUAAAGCGCGCGCAGGCGGAUAGGUCAGUCUGUCUUAAAAGUUCGGGGCUUAACCCCGUGAUGGGAUGGAAGCUGCCAAUCUAGAGUAUCGGAGAGGAAAGUGGAAUUCCUAGUGUAGCGGUGAAAUGCGUAGAUAUUAGGAAGAACACCAGUGGCGAAGGCGACUUUCUGGACGAAAACUGACGCUGAGGCGCGAAAGCCAGGGGAGCGAACGGGAUUAGAGACCCGGGUAGUCCCUGUCUCUUAUACA
rnacentral:rRNA from 1 species